rfam:Glycine soja cultivar W05 scaffold1063_29, whole genome shotgun sequence.
UCCUUAUUGGAUGAUGACAGUCACGUUUCAUGUUUUGAUUGGUCAAUGAAAAUAACAAUGCAUUUCAUCUUUUAUGGAAUUGACAUCCAAUCAAAACAUGACACGUGACAAUCAUCAUCC